rnacentral:rRNA from 1 species
AAUGGGCGCAAGCCUGACCCAGCCAUGCCGCGUGAAGGAUGAAUGCCCUAUGGGUUGUAAACUUCUUUUGUACGGGACGAAACUCCUGGUCGUGACCAGGAUUGACUGUACCGUGCGAAUAAGCAUCGGCUAACUCCGUGCCAGCAGCCGCGGUAAUACGGAGGAUGCAAGCGUUAUCCGGAUUCAUUGGGUUUAAAGGGUGCGUAGGCGGAAUAAUAAGUCAGUGGUGAAAGCCUGUGGCUCAACCAUAGAAUUGCCAUUGAUACUGUUAUUCUUGAGUAUAGUUGAAGUGGGCGGAAUGUGUAAUGUAGCGGUGAAAUGCUUAGAUAUUACACAGAACACCAAUUGCGAAGGCAGCUCACUAAGCUGUUACUGACGCUGAGGCACGAAAGCGUGGGGAGCAAA